rnacentral:rRNA from 1 species
CCUACGGGAGGCAGCAGUGGGGAAUAUUGCACAAUGGGGGAAACCCUGAUGCAGCGACGCCGCGUGAGUGAAGAAGUAAUUCGUUAUGUAAAGCUCUAUCAGUAGGGAAGAAAAUGACGGUACCUGAGGAAGAAGCCCCGGAUAACUACGUGCAAGCAGCAGUGGUAACACGGCGGGGGCACGCGUUAUCCGGAUGUAGUGGGUGUAAAGGGAGCGUAGAGGGGAGUGCAAGUCUGGAGUGAAAGGCGGGGACUCAACCCCCGGACUGCUCUUGAAACUGUACGGCUGGAGUGCAGGAGAGGUAAGUGGAAUUCCUAGUGUAGCGGUGAAAUGCAUAGAUAUUACGAAGAACACCAAUGGCGAAGGCAGCUUACUGGACUGUAACUGACGUUGAGGCUCGAAAGCGUGGGGAGCAAACAGGAUUAGAUACCCCAGUAGUC